rnacentral:rRNA from 1 species
UACCAAAAAUCUAGCCUAUAACAGCCCGAUACCAAAACAAACAUAUAUGAACAUAAAAUAAAACAUUUUCAUUUUCUAGUAGAUGCGAUCAAAAAAUAAAUAAGAGCUUAAGAAACAGUACCGAGAGGGAAAGAUGAAAUAAAAAUGAAAUAAAUUUAAAGUUAAUUAAAGCAGAGAUUAAAACUCGUACCUUUCGCAUCAUGGUCCAGCUAGUCAAACCAAGCAAAAAGAGAAUUUUAGUUUGUCAUCCCGAAACUAAGCGAGCUACUUCAAAACAGCUUAAAGAGCCAACCCGUCUCUGUGGCAAUAGAGUGGGAAGAUUUUCAAGUAGAAGUGAAAAGCCUAACGAGCUUAGAGAUAGCUGGUUGUUCAAGAAAAGAAUAUUAGUUCUGCCCUAAAUUUUUUUAUGAAAUUAAACAAAAUUCAAAAUUUAAGAGUUAUUCAACUAAGGCACAGCUUAUUUGAACAAGGACACAACCUAGAUAACAGGGUAAAUAUAAAAAAAAUAGAUUAAGUGGGCCUAAAAGCAGCCACCUUUAAAAAAGCGUUAAAGCUUGACCUAUUCAAUACUCAAAUACCAAAAGAUUUCAUGAACCCUCAUUACAUAUUGAACGACUCCAUAAUAAUAUGGAAAACAUCAUGCUGGAACUAGUAACAAGAAUUAAAUAUUCUCCAUAAUGCAAACAUAAGCCGAAAUGGACAAACCAUCGGCAAUUAACGAAAAUGAGUGAGUUAUAAUAACAAAACAAGAAAACCCUAUAUAUUUCAUCGUUAACCUGACACUAGAGCACUACAGGAAAGAUUAAAAGAGAAAGAAGGAACUCGGCAAAUUUCAGCCCCGCCUGUUUACCAAAAACAUCGCCUCUUGACAAACUAUAAGAGGUCCAGCCUGCCCAGUGAUAUUAUUCAACGGCCGCGGUAUCCUAACCGCGCGAAGGUAGCAUAAUCACUUGUUCUUUAAAUAGGGACUUGUAUCAAUGGCACCACGAGGGUUGCACUGUCUCCUCUCUCCAAUCAGUGAAACUGAUCUCCCCGUGAAGAAGCGGGGAUAAACCAAUAAGACGAGAAGACCCCAUGGAGCUUAAAAUCUAACAGCAACUUUGCCACAUAAUCCACCAUAUUUUACAGAGCCAUGCUAGCAAAUUUUAGGUUGGGGCGACCGCGGAGUAAAAAUCACCCUCCAUGACGAAAAGAACUAAACCUUUAUCUAAGAACUACUAUUCUAAGAAUUAGCAUACUAACGACCAUGACCCGAUAAUCGAUCAACGGACCAAGUUACCCUGGGGAUAACAGCGCAAUCUACUUUGAGAGUCCAUAUCGACAAGUAGGCUUACGACCUCGAUGUUGGAUCAAGGUAUCCUAGUGGUGCAGCCGCUACUAAUGGUUCGUUUGUUCAACGAUUAAAAC